UUGGGAGGGUUUUAUCUAUUUUUUCUAGGUACUAGUCCUUCCUCAUUCACUCCAUUUCAAUCGUAGGGUAGCCCCUCUUUCUCUUUCGAGUCUUCUUUUUUUUUGUACUUUUCUUCUAAGAAACAUGUUCCACAGAAGUAGGAAGGGGAAGAAGACCAUAGAUGAACCACAAGUUAGGUUGACCCAACCCCUACUGGCUAUAGAGGUGGGAAAUGUACCCUAGAAAGAUCCUAAAAUCGAUCUGUUAGGUGAGGAGAGUUUGGACCACAAUGCGGAAUCUCCCAUGUGUGGUCUCAUGGACUAUCUCGAUCUAGAAACAGAGGGAUCUGUCUUGACCAAGGAGAACCUCAUAGUCUUUCGAGACAAGUAUGACAUAUCCGAUGAAUAUGAAAUACUAGUACUGGAUCGAGAAGAUCGAGUCUCUGAACCUCCUGAGGGCUGCAUAGCUUUUUAUGAUGAAUCUCUUCGAUCUGACCUACGAUUUUCACUGCACUUUUUUUCUGUAAUAUUUUUAAUUUCUAUAGGAUCCAUCCCACUCAAAUAAUCCCAAAUGCAAUUAGGAUGAUUAUAGUAUUCAUCAUCAUGUGCGACUUCCUUCAUAUAGACCUUAGGAUCUUUUUGUUUAGAUCUUUAGUUCUUUUAAAAAAACAUCCGAGUGAGAAAGACUGGUGGUACUUUUCAUCUCGAAAGAAUUGUAAAUUCGGACCUAGCCUUCUUUCUUCCAUUCAUGGCUGGAAAGGCCAUUUUUUCUUUGUUCGGACUCCUAUUCCAUGAGAUUUUAGGACCUCCUGAAGGCAUCCGAACACCAAACAUAACUCUCAUGAUGAAAUUCUCCCCAGAGAUGAGGUGGCUCACUCAACCCUAAUCACCAUCAAAACACCCAAACUCUCUACUUUGAUAAACGAUUAGGCAUUGUGUGACGCUGGAAUCAGUUUGUACUCUCUUCGAGAUAAGACCGGAGUGUUUUAUUUUUUUAACUUCUCC
rnacentral:lncRNA from 1 species